rnacentral:rRNA from 1 species
GGAGGGGGUUAGCGUUGUUCGGAAUUACUGGGCGUAAAGCGCACGUAGGCGGAUUAGUAAGUUAGAGGUGAAAUCCCAGGGCUCAACCCUGGAACUGCCUUUAAUACUGCUAGUCUUGAGUUCGAGAGAGGUAAGUGGAAUUCCGAGUGUAGAGGUGAAAUUCGUAGAUAUUCGGAGGAACACCAGUGGCGAAGGCGGCUUACUGGCUCGAUACUGACGCUGAGGUGCGAAAGUGUGGGGAGCAAACAGGAUUAGAUACCCUGGUAGUCCACACCGUAAACGAUGAAUGCCAGACGCUAG